rnacentral:rRNA from 1 species
GAUCCUGGCUUAGAACGAACGCUGGUGGCGUGUCUUAUACAUGCAAGUCGAGCGAGGCAGCAAUGCCGAGCGGCGAACGGGUGAGUAACGCGUAAGCAAUCUGCCCCAUAUCAGGAAAUACCCGUGCCAACGCGCGGUUAAUGUCCAGGAGAGUGGCCAGCUGCAUGGCUGGUUGACUAGAGAUUUAUCGGUAUGGGAUGAGCUUGCGUCCGAUUAGCUAGUUGGCGGGGCAACGGCCCACCAAGGCGACGAUCGGUAGCCGGCCUGAGAGGGUGAUCGGCCACAUUGGGACUGAGAUACGGCCCAGACUCCUACGGGAGGCAGCAGUAGGGAAUAUUGCACAAUGGGGGAAACCCUGAUGCAGCAACGCCACGUGUGGGAAGAAGCAUUUCGGUGUGUAAACCACUGUCAUGAGGGAAUAAGGCCCGCCUUCGGACGGGAUUGAAUGUACCUUGAGAGGAAGCACCGGCAAACUUCGUGCCAGCCGCCGC